CGAGAACUGAGGCUACGUGAGGUUUUCUCAAUAUAACACAACUACAUCUCAACAAAGCUGGGCCUAACUUCUGAAUUUACAGAGGCCCCAUACAAUGUUCUCUUACAGUUAUUCCAACUAUAGACAUCAAGCAACUGAAGACCAGAAAAUUGGGAGUUUGAGUUGGGGACCAAGCCUUUCAUGGAAUGGCCAAAGAGAGAGAUGGGAGAUGUAAAAUUCUCAGAGAAAAGCAGAAAAACCAAGACAAACUGAGAAUGAGGAAUAUGAGGAAUCGAGAAUGACAAUCAUGAAGGCCAACUACAUUCGAGAUCUCCUGUUUUCCUGCUCAGUUCACUCAUGCUCCCAGAGGGUGGCAAUUUUGUCCUCUUCAUCUGUGUAUUCUUCAUACCACUAUUGCUCACUAAGUGUCUGAUGCCUAGAACACAAAUCCUAUGAUAGCUAUCACAUUGAGAAAGGUGCUGUGAACCUAGAAUUUCUUGAAAAAGGCUCUCUUCACAACAUGUAGAAUUUUGUCGCCAUGCACAUCCAAGUGAAAUAAG